rnacentral:rRNA from 1 species
CUGGCUCAGGAUGAACGCUAGCUACAGGCUUAACACAUGCAAGUCGAGGGGCAGCAUGUGGUUGCUUGCAACCAAUGAUGGCGACCGGCGCACGGGUGAGUAACGCGUAUCCAACCUUCCCCUUAGUAGAGGAUAGCCCGGCGAAAGUCGGAUUAAUACUCUAUGUUCUUCAAUGCGGACAUCUAAGUUGAAGCAAAGAUUUAUCGCUAAGGGAUGGGGAUGCGUCUGAUUAGGUUGCAGGCGGGGUAACGGCCCACCUGGCCUACGAUCAGUAGGGGUUCUGAGAGGAAGGUCCCCCACACUGGUACUGAGACACGGACCAGACUCCUACGGGAGGCAGCAGUGAGGAAUAUUGGUCAAUGGGCGCGAGCCUGAACCAGCCAAGUAGCGUGCAGGAACCGACUGCCCUAUGGGUUGUAAACUGCUUUUAUCAGUGAAUAAAGUGAGGCACGCGUGCCUUUUUGUAUGUACCUGAUGAAUAAGGACCGGCUAAUUCCGUGCCAGCCGCUGC